CUUAUUUGGCUCCUGUCUGCAGGGUUUACGCGCACGUUGGAAUCGAAGAGAGCUCUGUUGUUGCAAUGUUCAGCCCACAAGAGCUUACAGGUGAAGGAAUGGGACAAGACCCAUCUUUAUGCAAAGCCAGCGUUACAGUAAUGUUCCAGCAUCUCAUAAUCUAUCCUGAGGAAUUCAGCUGCCUCCCAGGGUGAAUACAGGUAUUUCUGAUGACAGUCUGCCUCUAUCUUACAGUACUACUAACCAAUAACCUGCUUGGCUCAAAGGGCCAGCACCUUCUCUCUAAAGCCCAAGAGGAGUUUGAGGUAAAUGGCUUUGCAAUAGUUACCGUCAAUAACUGCUAUAUAAAAUUUUCUGUGAUUUUUGUGUGUGAUAGCACUGUGGUCUGGGUGAAUGUAUACAGACAUAACUGGCUUAACCCAAAGUCUUUGAUCUCCUGAACCACCAGUUAUGAAUUGCUGCUCACCAGUGAUGAGUUGAAUACCGCCCCAGUCUGAUCAAUGUGUGACUGAAAGGUAUUUUCUGAGCUGUGAGCCUGCCUUCCAGCGACAUGUUCUAAAAAUUGCAAGUUAUUUGAGGAGGCUUUACAGCCAAUAGGAAGUUCUUGGGCUAAGUAGCAUUUCCUAUAAAAUGUGCCCUGAAACUUCUUUCUGCCAAGCAACAGAUAUAAUUGAGAGAUUGUAAAAUGUGUUGUAGAAUGAAAGUCUCUCAAGACUACAUUUUUUUUUGUUGAUUUUGCAGGAAAACUAGGUGUCUCUGUUCACUCCAGGCUGAAGUUACAGGU
rnacentral:sRNA from 1 species